GACGAACGCUGGCGGCGUGCCUAAUACAUGCAAGUAGAACGCACAGUUUAUACCGUAGCUUGCUACACCAUAAACUGUGAGUUGCGAACGGGUUAGUAACGCGUAGGUAACCUGCCUGGGAGCGCGGGUUAACUAUUGGAAACGAUAGCUAAUACCGCAUCAUAUUGAUUAUUGCAUGAUAAUUGAUUGAAAGAUGCUAUUGCAUCACUACCAGAUGGACCUGGGUUGUAUUAGCUAGUAGGUGAGGUAACGGCUCAGCUAGGCGUCGAUACAUAGCCGAACUGAGAGGGUGAUCGGCCACACUGGGGAGGGGACAAGGCGCAGAACUCUACGGGAGGCAGCAGUAGGGAAUCUUCGGCAAGGAGCGAAAGUCAGACCGAGGCAAGCGGCGAGAGUGAAGAAGGUCAUCGGAUCGUAAAGGUCUGUGGUAAGCGAAGAGUGGGUGGGAGAGUCCAAAGUUCAAGCUAUGACGGUAUCUGAGGAGAAAGGGACGGCUAACUCCGUG
rnacentral:rRNA from 1 species